GACGAACGCUGGCGGCGUGCCUAAUACAUGCAAGUCGAACGCACAGUUUAUACCGUAGCUUGCUACACCAUAGACUGUGAGUUGCGAACGGGUGAGUAACGCGUAGGUAACCUGCCUGGUAGCGGGGGAUAACUAUUGGAAACGAUAGCUAAUACCGCAUAAUAUUAAUUAUUGCAUGAUAAUUAAUUGAAAGGUGCAAUUGCACCACUACCAGAUGGACCUGCGUUGUAUUAGCUAGUAGGUGAGGUAACGGCUCACCUAGGCGACGAUACAUAGCCGACCUGAGAGGGUGAUCGGCCACACUGGGACUGAGACACGGCCCAGACUCCUACGGGAGGCAGCAGUAGGGAAUCUUCGGCAAUGAACGAAAGUCUGACCGAGCAACGCCGCGUGAGUGAAGAAGGUUUUCGGAUCGUAAAGCUCUGUUGUAAGAGAAGAACGGGUGUGAGAGUGGAAAGUUCACACUGUGACGGUAUCUUACCAGAAAGGGACGGCUAACUACGUG
rnacentral:rRNA from 1 species